rnacentral:rRNA from 1 species
AGAGUUUGAUCCUGGCUCAGAACGAACGCUGGCGGCGUGCUUAACACAUGCAAGUCGAACGUGAUCCGGGGCUUGCUCCGGUGAAAGUGGCGCACGGGUGAGUAACGCGUGGAUAAUCUGCCCGACGAUCUGGGAUAACAUCUCGAAAGGGGUGCUAAUACCGGAUAAGCCCACGGGGUCUUUGGACCUUGCGGGAAAAGGGGGGGACCUUCGGGCCUUCUGUCGUCGGAUGAGUCCGCGUCCCAUUAGCUAGUUGGCGGGGUAAUGGCCCACCAAGGCAACGAUGGGUAGCUGGUCUGAGAGGAUGAUCAGCCACACUGGAACUGAGACACGGUCCAGACUCCUACGGGAGGCAGCAGUGGGGAAUUUUGCGCAAUGGGGGAAACCCUGACGCAGCAACGCCGCGUGAGUGAUGAAGGCCCUUGGGUCGUAAAGCUCUGUCAGAGGGAAAGAAGUGACGGGAGGUUAAUACCCUUUUGUCUUGACGGUACCCUCAAAGGAAGCACCGGCUAACUCCGUGCCAGCAGCCGCGGUAAUACGGAGGGUGCAAGCGUUGUUCGGAUUUAUUGGGCGUAAAGGGCGUGUAGGCGGUUCGUUAAGUCUGAUGUGAAAGCCCCGGGCUCAACCCGGGAAGUGCAUUGGAAACUGGCGGACUUGAGUACGGGAGAGGGCAGUGGAAUUCCCAGUGUAGGAGUGAAAUCCGUAGAUAUUGGGAGGAACACCGGUGGCGAAGGCGGCUGCCUGGACCGAUACUGACGCUGAGACGCGAAAGCGUGGGGAGCAAACAGGAUUAGAUACCCUGUUAGUCCACGCUGUAAACGAUGAGCACUAGGUGUUGCGGGUAUUGACCCCUGCAGUGCCGCAGCUAACGCAUUAAGUGCUCCGCCUGGGAAGUACGGUCGCAAGACUAAAACUCAAAGGAAUUGAUGG